rnacentral:lncRNA from 1 species
CCGUGUUGAGUAGAGUCUUUUGCAUGGGUGUUAAGCAUUCUACACUUAUGGGCAAGAGGCUAUGAGAUGUUUUAGGAAAGUUUCCCUUCUUUUAGUGUUUAUGUCAUGUGAAAGAGACUGAGCCCUAUUCAAUCCCUCUUUCUAACUUAUACUUGAUUCAAUUUAUAGACAAUUCCUCUUAGAAGAAACAACGGAAGAAUGAACUGGGAUCAUCCUGCACCCC